AUCUGCAGCCGGGGUGGGGGCGCAUCCACCCGGCCCCGGCCGCCGGGCCGCUCACGGUUCCUGUCACCAGGCACUGGCGCAACAGCGACCGGCCGGGGAGAAGCCAUGUUCGCUGCGACGUCCUUCACUGCUCAUGACCGACAAGCAAUCCCCUGGGCCUCCAGUUACCGUCACUGCUGAGGUUCUACAGACGAACAGGACAGAGAUCACGCCUCUGGAGUUUCGAGUUAACGUGUAGAGAACUCCAACAAAUGCACAGGAAGAGGAGAGCGAGCAGGAUUACCCAGAGUUCUGUCUCCCAAAGCUCCGGUGCACCCAGACGUUGACCUUGUAGCCCUCUGGGCGGCUGGGAGGAGCCCACGCAUCACCUGGGCAUCACCUCAGGCGGCCGGCCCCCUCUGGGUUCAAGCAGCCUCCUCCCUCGUGCCGUCUAUACCCUCAAAGUGGGACCAGCUUCUGCAUGCGCCAUGACAGGGAAAAGACAAGACGGAUGUAAAAUGCAAAAAAGAUGUUCAGAAAUGGACCUGUCACCCAAUUACAGUAGGUUGGGACGCUGGGAAUGGCC